rnacentral:misc_RNA from 1 species
CUAUUCAAUUAAUAUUUUAAUAUCAUAUAUAAAAUUUUAAAACUUGUAUUUUAAAAUUCAAGUCAUUACAAUUCAUUAAUUAUGACAAUUUACAAUCACCGACCAAAUACAGCAUGCAAUUUAUAAUCUAUUUCUCUACUAAACACGAGAUCAUCAAACUAAUUGCAUAAAGAUUUUCUUGCUAAUGUAAUGUCAAAAAUCACAUGUAUACACACUUUCUGCCAAUGCAAACAACUUCUAAUUCUUCUGGAGAUACGGCGGCCACAGGUCUAGGCGGUUAUGGUUCUUGAAACUGAGAACUUGAGAUCAGACCACACAGGAUUCCUUGAUUUUGAUUCAAUUUGAUUUGAAUAGUUAAAAUUUUUUUUUCAAAUUUAUAAUGCAUGUUUGAAUCUUGAUUCAAGUUGAAAGAGAAAAAGGUCCUGUUUUGGAUCUGCACUGAAUCAUAGCCGGUGUAAUUAUAGGUAAGUUUCUCAACUAGACGCAGAUUCUUUAAUCUUGAUGUGCUUUUAACUUUAUAAACAACAAAUUUUUGCCAAACUUUAACACCAGGAAUCUUGCAAUCAAAUGUCAUAUAAAUUUACACUACUCUGCAGUAUUUGAAUUUGGAAUUCCAGCUCUUUUUCUCCUUUUCUUUUACUACAAUAUGUACAUGUUGAAGCAGAACAACAUAUUCAUACCUUAACAUGUGAAAUUAAAGAAGCAUCCAUUACUCUGGAUGUCCUUGAAUGCUUAGUGAGCUUCUGCUCAACUCCCAACCAUUUCUGUAUAAGUUGAAAUACUGUGUUGUCUCGUAGCAGUCCACGGUGAGUAGCUGUAACUCCUACUCUCUCAACUGCUUCAAAUCCAUCCGCCUGUGCAAUAGAAAGAUCAUUUAGAAUUUAACCCAAGUGCAGGAAAAACCUACAAUCUGGGAAAAAUGCUUGCAUUAUGCAGAACAAAGCUAAUUUGAUACUUAAACAAAAAAUAUGAAUCACAAAUUUCAAUUCUCAUAUGAGAUGAUGUUAAAUUAGGAGAAAAGACUGAGGGUUUAGCAGUAACUAAUUUCAAUACAUGCAUAUGAAUAAACAAGAUUUUAAUGGAAUAGUGGGAACUAAUUUCUAAAAUAGACACGAGAAAUUAACAAUCUGGCGUACAAUAAUCCACCUCAAACAAAAUUUUUUUUCACCUACUUUGAGUUAUUUUAGAUGAUUUCCCGGCUAGACCGUAGGCAAAGAUGAAAUCUGGAGGCUGCCAUUGCUGUUAGGAAGAUUAGGUGCCAUCUUGUGUUGCAGAAUGCAGAAACUAUUAUUUUAUCAGAGUUCAGUAGAUCACUGAUGUAUUUAGGAUUGUCAAGUUUUAGAAUGAUCGUCUUACAGUCAAAAGGAUUUUGCCCUCUCAUAUAAUCUUAAAUGUCGAUCUUUGGUCUGACCAUCUGGAUACUAAUGAGCAAUAUGCUCCAUCAUUUAAGUAAUAAGCAUUUGAAUUUUUCACAAUCAAGAGCCACAUCUUUCAUCACAGACCUUGCAUAACAUUGAAGUGAAAGGUUAGAGGAAAAACCUUAGCUGAUUCUGCAGGAACUGUUCCAUCACCAUCCACAUAAGAAUACAGGGGCUGAGACAAACAACAUGUUUUGAGAAAAACGCUAGUCAUGAAUUAAACAAGCAUUACGAAACUGCAGAUCCUGGAUGUAUGAUAACUGGUAAAACAGGGAUAUGAACUGAUACAUCAUGAGAAAAUUACAUUAUCAACUGAAGUUUAAACUAUAAGAAUGAUAAUAAUAUCUGGAACAGAUAUAACAAGCCACUAGAUCUAGGCAGUCAGAAUCAAAUCAAAGCUCAAAAUAAUAAUUUAUGUAGGAUGACUUUUAGCAGCAUUGUGUACUCAUAGGCAAAUACUCACCAUAGUGUGGCAGACUUCAGACAGAUCUUUGACUGGAGAUGUCUCUGUACCAUAUCGAACAUCAAAAGGUGUAUCGUAUGAUGUCCCAUAAAUGUUAUAGAAGGAAACCCCUUUUGGCAGUUGCACAUCAUUUAGAAUCUGGCGAGUACCAGCAGCCCAUUUGAGGAUGUAAAAGUUGAAGGGUAGAGAAACUGUAUUUCCAUUAUAAGUUAGCUCAUUAUUCUUCAAUGCUUCCUGAAAGAAAGUGAUACUUUCAAGUGGGCCAUAGGACUCCAACUUGACCAAAGUUUCCCCAUUAUCUGAUUGCUCCCUCCAAACUUGAAUUUGUGGUUGCCUUUCCCACUUAAAAUUUGGAUUUGCCAACAUUUCAUAGAUUGAUGGGCACUCAACCAACAGCUGGUGCAUUGUCCAUCUAGAUACAAAAAAGUAGCUCUCAAAACCUUCAACAAACUGCAACCCAGUUAACAGGGAAUCAUUGAUGCAUCCUGGUGCACCUUGGAAAGGGCAUGCAAUGCAGAUCCAUUUUUUAACAAACUUUGACACCACAUCUGCAUGAAGUGACAUGAAACAUGACACCAGCAGUCCACCCAUUGAAUGUGAAAUUAUAUUAACUUUUCUAUGUCCAGAAGCUUCAUAAGCUGCUUCCAGCUUUGCUUUAAGCCCUUCCAUUAAUUUAUCAAUUCUAUUGCUUUGCCGGAAAUCAUAGCCAUAUCCAAACAAUGUGCUUCCCUUCUUAUAUCCACAAUUAAUGAGCAUAUCAAUCAUAUCAUGGAACUGAUACACCUCUGUCAAAUGGAAAAAUUUUACAAACAAUGAUGGAUCUAAAAUAUCAAUUGCAUAUAGCCCAUAAUCAUCAUCAGGGACCACAAGCUCAGUGCCGUCAUCCAAUACCUCUGUAUAACCUGGGGAAAAAAUGGAGAAACUUCAGAGACCAAAUUGCUAUGAAACAUGAGCCAAGAAAAUGGAGAAAUUUAAGAGGAAUAUAUAUAACAGACAAGUCUGGUUGUGAUCAUGUCCCCGGAGGAUUCAAAAUUAAAUCAGAGGAUAGUUAAACAGUAUAAUAUCUACCAACCUAGAACGUUUAAAUUAGAUAUGAGCAAAUUCCAUUCUCAAGAACACGCUUCAUGCUAAGACUGCCUCCAAAUUCUCCCUCCCAAGACACUGAAUAGAACGGCAUCAUGACUAGAUAAUGACAUUUUAACUGAGAAAACAUUACAAAACGACAAUUUAAGCAGCUACUUGUAUUCAUUACUUCAAAUAUAUCUGGGAAAUCACAAAAGAUUCAAACUUUUUUGAAUGAAAAAGAAAACCCGAAAUAUUGCUGAUUAUAAAUAUUACAGUAGCAACAUCAGUGCAUACUAUCCAACUUCUUUCUCUCACCAGUUGUCUCUUUAUGUACUUUGCUUCCAGCAACCAAAAGACAUAAACCCAACUCAUUUUCAAAUAAAAACAAUUCAUUUCCUUUCUUACUCUCUCCCUUUCAGAGCAAAGAAAUCAGAGAUGCCAAAAACAUGUAACCACAUAACAAAACCGAAUCAAGCAGAGAACUUAACAAUUAUCUGUAACAAGUUCACACACACGAAGUGUAAAUGCAUUGAUAGAGGGAAGCGAAUGAGAGAGACCAGUCUUGGGAUUAUAGAGAGACCAGAUUCUCUUCUUGAACUCAUAAUCAGCUAAGAGAAUCCGGACCCAUACCCGAGUCUCGAACCCGAACUUCUUGCUCUUCGUCUUCGAAUGCAGGAUGGACCCUCCGAUUCCAGACACUAGUAGGACGGGGUCGCGGUCAGGUUCAGUAUCGACCGCACUCCGACUUCCGAAGCAAGGGCAGAAAGAGAAGUCUCCAACCAUGACCCGAUAAUGAGACGGAUUCGGGUCUCACUGGAUCAGAGCAGGGAAGAUGGAAGAUUGCAGUACUUGAAC